CACUCCUGCGGGAGGCAGCAGUGGGGAAUUUUGGACAAUGGGGGCAACCCUGAUCCAGCAAUGCCGCGUGAGUGAAGAAGGCCUUCGGGUUGUAAAGCUCUUUUGUCAGGGAAGAAACGGUAGUAGCGAAUAACUAUUACUAAUGACGGUACCUGAAGAAUAAGCACCGGCUAACUACGUGCCAGCAGCCGCGGUAAUACGUAGGGUGCAAGCGUUAAUCGGAAUUACUGGGCGUAAAGCGUGCGCAGGCGGUUGUGUAAGUCAGAUGUGAAAUCCCCGGGCUCAACCUGGGAAUUGCAUUUGAGACUGCACGGCUAGAGUGUGUCAGAGGGGGGUAGAAUUCCACGUGUAGCAGUGAAAUGCGUAGAUAUGUGGAGGAAUACCGAUGGCGAAGGCAGCCCCCUGGGUUAACACUGACGCUCAUGCACGAAAGCGUGGGGAGCAAACAGGAUUAGAAACCCUUGUAGUCCC
rnacentral:rRNA from 1 species